CUUAGUUUAUUGGUCGUUAAGGAUUUUAUGGUUAGUGAGUGAUAAAUAUGGCACCACUGGUGCCAAAUUGCUAUUCCCGCCUUAAAAAAAAGACAUGUUAUGAGAGCCACCAAGUGGUCAAUCGCGGUAAAAAAAUACAUCUAAAUUGUGAAUCGGGGUACUACAGCAACUACAGCUACUACCUUCUAGCCUACUACUACAGCAACAGCCAAGAGCCCAAGACCCAAGAGGCAACAGGCGUGAACAUUCACUUACGAGUUAUGACGAUUGGCGAUUUUAGACGAAGCGUGAAUGACGUCAGAAUCAAUUUGUGAAUCUAGAAAGUUAAAAUUAAAAAACAAAUGGGUUUUGUGUCCCUAGACUGGCAACGUUCCAGGGUUCCCCCUUCUCAAAAAGUGGCAGCCCUGUCUGCAAGUUUGUUUUCAUUUUAAAAAGUAAACUGUGAUGUAGUUUCAUAAUGACGCAGUCGAGUCACUCGAGUGUCAUAUAAACUAUCCGAAUUAGCCAAAAGUUUACCUGAGGUUGUAAGCUGCAAUCAGCCACAUUCUCAAUACCAGAUUCUUCAUGUUGUUGAAGGUUGGAUAAAUUUUUGGACGGAACCCAAUCAACAUCAUUGUCAAGGUACAGAUAUGAUGGUUUACCUACAAAAUAUUACCUUAGUUACCUAACUACUGCAACAGUAGGCUAAUAUUUAUUAUAAAUGAAAAAAAUACCUGAAUGGAAAUGGUUGGAACAAACACAUUGAAUACCAUAGUGUCUAUUUAAAUACUGCCCAAGAAUAGCAUUCCAAGCUGAAAUUCGUCUUUCCACUAACUGGAUCUCAUUUGCACGCAAUAAUCCAUGUUUCUUAGGAAUUGAAAAAAAAGAGAAAGAACUUUUUCUUGAUUGCGUUUCGAAUUCACCACAAAUACAACAAACUCGUCUCAUGUUAUUUAA